rnacentral:rRNA from 1 species
CCUUGUACACACCGCCCGUCACACCGAUGGGAGCGGGUUCUGCCAGAAGUAGUUAGCCUAACCGCAAGGAGGGCGAUUACCACGGCAGGGUUCGUGACUGGGGUG